UACGUAGGGGGCUAGCGUUGUCCGGAAUCAUUGGGCGUAAAGAGCGUGUAGGCGGCUCGGCAAGUCCGCUGUGAAAGUCCAGGGCUCAACCCUGGAAUGCCGGUGGAAACUGCUGAGCUAGAGUCCGGAAGAGGUGAGUGGAAUUCCUGGUGUAGCGGUGAAAUGCGCAGAUAUCAGGAGGAACACCAAUGGCGAAGGCAGCUCACUGGGACGGUACUGACGCUGAGACGCGAAAGCGUGGGGAG
rnacentral:rRNA from 1 species